rnacentral:tRNA from 1 species
CAUUAUGAAGCUAUAUGAGCAUUAACCUUUUAAGUUAAAAUUUGAAGGAUAAGGCCUUCCAUAAUGA